CAAAAAAAGAAAGAAAAAUUUAGCAUAGAAAUCAUCGAAAAUAAUAAAAAACAGUAUUUUAAUUUAUUCCUUGUAGUUUCAGUGAACAGCUUCAAUCUGACGAUCUCUCCUAUGCUCCGCCUUACAUAAUAGUUUCUCUCUCCCUCACUCGGACCUCUCUUCAAUUGCUCUCAUUUGCCUUUUCAUGACUAAUCAGAUUGCGUCAAUGUUGUUUUGUUGAUCUGAAUUUGAAUUUGUAGUUUCAGGAACUUUGAGCUAGCGUGGCGGUUCGGCUUGAUUUAGAUUUUUCUGGUUGAACUGGUAAAAAGAUGACUUCGAUGACCCAGUGUCCGACAUCAUUUUUUGGGAAUUUGUGUUCCAAGCCUACUGCUUCUGAUCUUAUUAGGAGCUCAAAUAAUGGUGCUUCUGGUGUUCCCCUAAGAGCCCUUGGUAGGGCCCAACUGAGAGCGAAAAGGAGGGACUUCUCUAUAUCUGCAAAGGUUAGGAAAACAAAUAAGCAUGAAUACCCAUGGCCAGAAGAUCCGGACCUGAACGUGAAGGGUGGAGUCCUUAGCCACUUGUCAUCUUUCAAGCCUUUGAAAGAGAAGCCAAAGCCAGUUACUUUGGCUUUUGAGAAGCCUCUGAUGGAUCUCCAGAAAAAGAUAGUUGAUGUACG